UCGGGUUGUCAUGCCAAUGGCACUGCCCGGUAGCUAAAUGCGGAAGAGAUAAGUGCUGAAAGCAUCUAAGCACGAAACUUGCCCCGAGAUGAGUUCUCCCUGAGACUUAGAGUCUCCUGAAGGAACGUUGAAGACGACGACGUUGAUAGGCCGGGUGUGUAAGCGCAGCGAUGCGUUGAGCUAACCGGUACUAAUGAACCGUGAGGCUUAACCUUACAACGCCGAAG
rnacentral:rRNA from 2 species